rnacentral:rRNA from 1 species
GACGAACGCUGGCGGCGUGCCUAAUACAUGCAAGUCGAGCGCAGGAAACUGACGGAACUCUUCGGAGGGAAGGCAGUGGAAUGAGCGGCGGACGGGUGAGUAACACGUAAGGAACCUGCCUCAAGGAUUGGGAUAACUCCGAGAAAUCGGAGCUAAUACCGGAUAGUUCAACGGACCGCAUGGUCCGCUGAUGAAAGGCGCUCCGGCGUCACCUUGAGAUGGCCUUGCGGUGCAUUAGCUAGUUGGUGGGGUAACGGCCCACCAAGGCGACGAUGCAUAGCCGACCUGAGAGGGUGGGCGGCCACCCUGGGACUGAGACACGGCCCAGACUCCGACGGGAGGCAGCAGUAGGGAAUCUUCCACAAUGGACGAAAGUCUGAUGGAGCAACGCCGCGUGAGUGAUGAAGGUUUUCGGAUCGUAAAACUCUGUUGUAAGGGAAGAACACGUACGAGAGGAAAUGCUCGUACCUUGACGGUACCUUACGAGAAAGCCACGGCUAACUACGUGCCAGCCGCCGCGGUAACAC